rnacentral:sRNA from 1 species
AAUACUAAAAGCUAUGACAAUUUCCACUUUCUGUCUGCUUUCUGCUUCCUAAUGAGACACAUUGUGACCUCACAUCACUGCUAUUGUGCUGAUCCCUACCGUCAGAUUGUAAGUGAAAAUUUGCCCUCUGCCCUUAAGUUGCUUAAUAUCAGCAUUUGGUUAUAGUAAACUGAAAAAUUCUCUGUAGAAUGUCAAACCUCAGCUGCCUUCAUGGAGAAGACUCCUGUACUGUGCUCACAUCCAUGGUCCAGAGGCCCUUUGCCAGGCAGCUCAGCCCACACCAGGUUCAGCAUGGCGGGCAGAUCCUCUAAGACAGUGAUUCUCUAUUUGGGAGUCGCAUAUCAGGCGGUGCAUAAACAAUGAAGGAGGAGAGCCUGAGGGCAUAACCUACCAAUGACUUCACACCCAUCCCAUGGACAAGAAGCAAUCCCUGACACUGUCAACGAUAUGGUCAUGCUUAUAGACCAGAACCUAACGUUAGAUAACAGCACAUCUGAAGAGAGUUUGUGACAAUAGUGUUGCCACUUUGAUGGUGAUCCCAUCCUCCUCUGAAACUGUAAGCAAAAUUAAAAUCUUUUAUGAAGUGCCUUAGACACUGUGUUUUAUCACAGCGACAGAAAAGGCACUAAUACACACCCAUAAAGUUUUACACCUGAACGAGUAACUCAUGUAAUGGAAGAGCAUUGCAUCAGCAAGUGCAAACAAAAUAAAGAGGGGCAUCAUAUCAUAAUGCUUGAAUAAA